CACAAAAGAGGCAGCCUGCAUCUGUCAGAUAGUGUCGUAUUUGAUACAGGUUUUGAUAUCAUCAGCUGGAGGGCAGAAAUGAACCUGCAUGCCUGGAUGGUACCUGGAGAUUAUUAGACACAAUAGCAAUAAGAAAAAGAAAGCUUUGUUUCCUGUAGUGCAAAGGUCCCCAUGACUACAUUUUGAAGACAUUAAGUCCUCAAGGUGGAAAAUGUAUAGGGAUAAGUUUAUGCCCUCAAAGGGAACAUAAUCAUGUAGUUGUUUAGCAUUUAUAUGGGUGGGGAGUAUUUGGAUUAUGCAUGUCUAAGUGCCAUUGGAUCUUUAUAAACAUCUGAAAAAUUCUGGGCGAUAGAUAUGGAAAUGGAUAUGUUAGUAGUUUAAUUUGGUUUAAUUAGCAUCCUGAUUGGGCAUAUUCCAUGUUCACUUUUGUGAAUCUGGCAUCCUAAAUAUAAUGACAAUUGGCAUUUGUACAUUCUUUUUUUCCCAAAUGUAUGCAUAUAUAGACACAGCGUGUCAACAUUGAAACUAUUGUGGAGGGAUACUGCACAUAUCUCUCUCAUUCCUACUUUUUCUGCUUGACUUUUCUUGCCUCAAUGUUCCCUACAAAACAGCUUAAAAUUAGAAAUACAGAUUUUAUUCCUUAUAUGUAGGAAAUCUGAUAAAUUCCCCUACUGGUGGAAACUUAUUUAUAGACUACAUGUAUUUUUAGCACUGCGUAAAAAACAAUACCACAAAUCUCUUAGUUAAGCUCAGAAUGUAGGGAAAAGAGCAUAGGCUCAGGUCCAUGACAUCCAACUCAAAGAACUUCUUGCCAGAAGCAUAUUACUCCUCAACUCUCCAUGCAGGCAUUGCAAUGAGGGUUUUGCACCUCUGUGUGACAACAACAACACUGUGUCUACAUGAAGAUGAUUUACAAAAGGAUCAGAAAAGGAGUGUGGCAAGUUGCAAGGUGAAAGGAAAAAAUAAAGAAAGAUGGAUGAAAUGUGCAGGGUAAGGAAGAGGAAAAUGAAGGAGAGAGUAGAAGCAGAUUGAGGAUGUAUGGCUAUAGGUGGAGUGGACAGGAUUAAGGGCUGAAUGGGAUCUGUAAUGCA
rnacentral:lncRNA from 1 species